CGCGUAGGUGGUUUGUUAAGCGAGAUGUGAAAGCCCCGGGCUUAACCUGGGAACGGCAUUUCGAACUGGCAGGCUAGAGUGUGGUAGAGGGUAGUGGAAUUUCCUGUGUAGCGGUGAAAUGCGUAGAUAUAGGAAGGAACACCAGUGGCGAAGGCGGCUACCUGGACCAACACUGACACUGAGGUGCGAAAGCGUGGGGAGCAAACG
rnacentral:rRNA from 1 species